AGUGUUAGGAUAGUAAAUUAAAAGGUGUUCAUGGACCAGAUCGGGUCCGAUUAGUUGAUAUACUCUACCCGUACCCUAAAAAAGAAUGGUCGGGUCUGGGUAGUUGUUUAUAUACUUCUGAAAAGUUUCCAACUUUCUGAUUUAUCUUUAUGAAAAUUACUAUUUUGUCCUUUCAAAUAUAGCCUUUUAUCAGCACCAGCUUUUCUUAUUUACCCUUUAAGUUACGAGCACAAAAACUAUUUUGCUUUUUGAUCUUUUCAAAUAUGUCCUUCUACAAUCACCAACAUUUCUUAUUUGCCCUUAAGUUCAGGGCAAAAGUGUUAUUUUAUUUUUUUUAACUGUGGUAGAUAUUUAACUCACGUUUAACCCAAAUUAACUUAACGGUUGAUAACUGUAAAGUUAUUUUAAAAUAACGGAGGAACAUAUGAGAGGCAUAUUGAAAAGAAAAAAAAAAAGAUAUUUUCGAAGUUUUGAGGGGUAUAU
rnacentral:lncRNA from 1 species